UACAGAGGUCUCAAGCGUUGUUCGGAUUCAUUGGGCGUAAAGCGCGUGUAGGCGGCUAAGUAAGUCGGGCGUGAAAUCCCACGGCUCAACCGUGGAAGUGCACUCGAAACUGCAUAGCUAGAGUCCUGGAGAGGAAGGUGGAAUGCUUGGUGUAGAGGUGAAAUUCGUAGAUAUCAAGCGGAACACCGGUGGCGAAGGCGGCAUCCUGGACCAACACUGACGCUGAGGAGCGAAAGCCAGGGGAGCAAACGGG
rnacentral:rRNA from 1 species